AAAGUACUCCCUCCGUCCCAAAAUUCUGGUCUUAGAUUUGUCUAGAUACGAAUGUAUCAAGUCACAUUUUAGUAUUAUAUACAUCACAUUUUAGUAUUAGAUACAUCCGUAUCUAGACAAAUCUAAGACAAGAAAUUUGGGACAGAGGGAGUAGUUG
rfam:Triticum aestivum genome assembly, contig: Triticum_aestivum_CS42_TGACv1_scaffold_231097_3B